rnacentral:rRNA from 1 species
UACGUAGGGUGCAAGCGUUGUCCGGAAUUAUUGGGCGUAAAGAGCUCGUAGGCGGUCUGUCGCGUCGGCUGUGAAAACCCGGGGCUCAACCCCGGGCCUGCAGUCGAUACGGGCAGACUAGAGUGCGGUAGGGGAGACUGGAAUUCCUGGUGUAGCGGUGAAAUGCGCAGAUAUCAGGAAGAACACCCGUGGCGAAGGCGGCUCUCUGGGACGUGACUGACGCUGAGACGCGAAAGCGUGGGGAGCGAACAGG